GAUACACGGACGGAUGCUGGAGAGAUUAUUUCUAAGCCCUUCCCCCUUCCCUCUCCCCUCCUCUUCCAGGGCCACACUGACAGUCCCGGGGGAAAGAGAGGAGAGACAGGGAGAGUGCAAGAUCCACCAGCUCUCUCUCAGCAUCUUUCAGCAGGAAGCCCCAGGAGCCCAGGAGAGGAGCUGCCCCUCGGGACACCUUCGCCGAAGAUCCUUAGCACAACAUAUGUUACAUGAACACGCGCGGCUGCUUUCCCCUUCCAGGAAAGAAGGAGAGAAGGAGGAAGAGGAAAGAGACAGCCAGCUCCAGAGUGCUCCAGCGCUUUCCCAUGUAACCAACCCUGGAGAACCCCCCCAGGAGCUCCUGCCGGACCCUGCUCCGCGGGCGGCAUGUGAGCAUCACCUGCGGGGCAGCGUCGCUCCCGGCAGCUGCCCCUGCUCGGCUGAUAAUCCUUGCAAUCCCCCCGAGAGGCAGAACGGGCGUGCAGCGAGAGGCAGAGGAACCACGAUCUGAGCAGUCCAGUUAAAGCAAUUAGGAACUUUGCAUCCAGCUGAUGGCAGCUCCCCCUGCUCUGAUGCCAUUCUGGAUGUCCCGGUGAGAACUCUUAGAGAUGCCUAUUCUCUCCAGAGGCAGUGACCAAGACUAUAGUAACAUUAGCUACAACUCGUGUAAUUCCUUGAGCCACCUCCUUCCCAUCUGCGUGGAAACCCCUUCUGUCAAGGGCGUCCAUUACCAGAGAGCCAGGAGGAUUUACCACCCUGAACAAGUGUCUGCAGUUGAUCUAAAGACAGAGAUCAUGAUCAACGUCGGAGGCAUCAAGUACCUGCUGCCUUGGAGUACUUUAGAUGAGUUUCCCCUGACCAGACUGAGCAAACUAAAGCUUUGCAGCAGCUACGAAGAAAUCAUCCAGCUGUGUGACGAUUACGAUGAAGACACCCACGAGUUCUUCUUUGACAGGAACCCCAACGCUUUUGGGAUGAUUGUCAGCUUCCUAGCAGCGGGGAAGCUGAUGCUCUUGAGAGACAUGUGUGCCUUGUCUUUCCAGGAGGAGCUGAGGUACUGGGGCAUUGAGGAAUCCAACCUGGAGAACUGCUGCUUUCGGAAACUGUUCCAGAAACUGCAGGAGCUGGCCGAGAUACGCAAGGAAGAGGAGCUCCGGAGGAGCAAGGAAGCCUCGUGUGUCUUGGAUGAGAAAACCAGAUUUGGACAGUUCAUGAACAGACUCAGAGAUAUGGUGGAAAAUCCCCAGUCAGGACUGCCAGGCAAAGUUUUUGCUUGUCUCUCCAUCCUCUUUGUGGCCACCACAGCUGUAAGCCUUUGUGUGAGCACAAUGCCAGACUUAAGAGCUGAAGAAGACAGGGGUGAGUGUUCCCAGAGGUGCUAUUACAUCUUCGUCAUCGAGACCAUCUGCGUGGCUUGGUUCUCCCUGGAGUUCUGCCUCCGGUUCAUCCAGGCGAGGAGCAAGUGUCAGUUCUUCAAAGGACCCCUGAACAUCAUUGACUUCGUGGCCAUUUCCCCCUACUACGCCUCCCUCAUCUUCUCCGAGGACGACUCCAGCAAGCAGGAGGACAGGCCAAGCAGCAACUCGUACCUGGAGAAGGUGGGCUUGGUGCUACGGGUUUUACGUGCCUUGAGGAUCCUGUACGUCAUGCGCCUUGCCCGGCACUCCCUGGGCCUGCAGACCCUGGGCCUCACCGUGCGCAAGUGCACGCGGGAAUUCGGGCUGCUGCUGCUCUUCCUGUGCGUGGCUGUCACCCUGUUCUCCCCCCUGGUCUACCUGGCCGAGAAUGAGUCCGGCAGGGUGCUGGAAUUCACCAGCAUUCCCGCCUCCUACUGGUGGGCCAUCAUCUCCAUGACCACCGUGGGCUACGGAGACAUGGUCCCGCGGAGCGUGCCGGGCCAGAUGGUGGCUCUCAGCAGCAUCCUCAGCGGGAUCCUCAUCAUGUCCUUCCCCGCAACGUCCAUAUUCCACACCUUCUCCCACUCCUACUCCGAGCUGCGCAAGGAACACGAGCGGCUGCAGUCGCGGCUGAACCGCGCGAGAAACGCCAAUCGCUCCGGUGAAAGCGACACCUUCAACGAGACUGACAGCCUGACCCUGGAGGGCCAGGCAUCCCCCAUCAAAUACAUCUACACAGGGAACUGAGCCUGGCAUCCCCCAUCAAAUACAUCUACACAGGGAACUGAGCCUGGCAUCCCCCAACAAAUACAUCUACACAGGGAACUGAGCCCAGGUGUCCCCCAACAAAUACAUCUACACAGGGAACUGAGCCUGGCAUCUCCCAUCAAAUACAUCUACACAGGGAACUGAGCCUGGUGUCCCCCAACAAAUACAUCUACACAGGGAACUGAGCCUGGUGUCCCCCAACAAAUACAUCUACACAGGGAACUGAGCCCAGGUAUCCCCCAUCAAAUACAUCUACACAGGGAACUGAGCCUGGUAUCCCCCAUCAAAUACAUCUACACAGGGAACUGAGCCUGGCAUCCCCCAACAAAUACAUCUACACAGGGAACUGAGCCUGGCAUCCCCCAACAAAUACAUCUACACAGGGAACUGAGCCUGGCAUCCCCCAACAAAUACAUCUACACAGGGAACUGAGCCUGGUGUCCCCCAACAAAUACAUCUACACAGGGAACUGAGCCCAGGUAUCCCCCAUCAUAUACAUCUACACAGGGAACUGAGCCCAGGUAUCCCCCAUCAAAUACAUCUACACAGGGAACUGAGCCUGGUAUCCCCCAUCAAAUACAUCUACACAGGGAACUGAGCCCAGGUAUCCCCCAUCAAAUACAUCUACACAGGGAACUGAGCCUGGCAUCCCCCAACAAAUACAUCUACACAGGGAACUGAGCCUGGCAUCCCCCAACAAAUACAUCUACACAGGGAACUGAGCCUGGUGUCCCCCAUCAAAUACAUCUACACAGGGAACUGAGCCUGGCAUCUCCCAUCAAAUACAUCUACACAGGGAACUGAGCCCAGGCGUCCCCCAUCAAAUACAUCUACACAGGGAACUGAGCCUGGCAUCUCCCAUCAAAUACAUCUACACAGGGAACUGAGCCUGGUGUCCCCCAACAAAUACAUCUACACAGGGAACUGAGCCUGGCAUCUCCCAUCAUAUACAUCUACACAGGGAACUGAGCCUGGCAUCUCCCAUCAAAUACAUCUACACAGGGAACUGAGCCCAGGUGUCCCCAUCAAAUACAUCUACACAGGGAACUGAGCCUGGUGUCCCCCAACAAAUACAUCUACACAGGGAACUGAGCCCAGGUGUCCCCAUCAAAUACAUCUACACAGGGAACUGAGCCUGGCAUCCCCCAUCAAAUACAUCUACACAGAGAACUGAGCCUGGCGUGGAGCGUUCCCAAAAACACCGACAGAAAGGUGCACGUGUGAACAUCAGCAAAAUACGCAAAGCAAAGCAACGACCCGGGUUACAGCACUAUCCUCUCUCCUGGCAUAGGUAUAAGCAGCAGCCAACCCAACAUGGCCAGCUCCAAAAAAUCCCCAUGGAGCUGGAGGUUGGGAGAAUGUAAAAAAUCAGAGUUUAUUCAGUGAUAAAUGCUCAUUCUUCUCUGACUACUAAGAAAAAACUUUGUCUCUACCACUCAUGCAUCUUGCUGAUUACCUAAUGCUGAAUGAGUAACAAAGCCGGCUUCUGUUGGUGCAAACACACUUGUUAUUUUAUUUGCCUUUGAGUUUCCAAUGUUCUUGCAAUUAAUACCUUGAGCCAGGCAUUAGGACACAUUCUUUCCGGGCUACACACUGGUGUGGUUAUCCACAGCUCAUCCACCAGGCAUAGAGAUACAAAUCUGAAUUCUGUAUUUAAAGUCAGUAACAAGCUUAAAAUAAAGGCCCUGUAUGUGACAGCUUUCAAAGUUUGCCUGCAGCCAGACGAUCAAUCUGUAACUAACAAAUUGCACUGCUUUGCAUUAAACACAUACUGUUUGCAAGAGCAUUUGCUUGAAAUGCAUUUGUGGUCUGCAGACUGUAAACAUAUCUUACUAGACAGCAAAAGUCUUCAAAUUUCUUUUUCAUAUAUUUAUUUAAAAUAAAAACAAGGAAUAAAA